UUGGUUUUUGUCGUUGUUCAAAUUUCCGCUCUCACCCAAAAAAAAUAAGUGUCCUUGAUUGCAAUUCCCAAAUAAUAACUAAUUACCAAAGAGACCCCUAUUAUCCUCCUCCGGGCUACGCCCUUCCUUUCCCGCCACCGAGUUACCAUCAGCGCCGCGCCGCCUCCUGCAGGGUUGAGCCGUUUGCGCCACCGCCCUCCGCAGUUCCAAGGUUACAAAGCUAUUUGAAUUAACAGUACCUCCGCCACCUCCUUCGCAUUACGAUUGCCACCACUUACAGUAUCAUGACGAUGGUACCCCCGGUUUUACUUCCUUCUUGGAAGCCUGCUUGACAGCGCUUUGUUGCUGUUGUUUGCUAGAAGAUUGCUUUUUCUGAUGAUCAUAUUAAAAAGUUUGCAUCUGCAGUUUGGUACUUGGCCGGUUAUAGCUUCUCUGGAUAAAUGUUGCUCUAAUGUCUUCAUGUGUGCGGGAUCUGGUAAGUGUUAGUCAUUGUUGUAACUCUUGGGUCUUUACCUUCUCCCUCACUCGUUUCUGGUUCUUCAUAGAUUUUCUGAUGUGAUCAUUGUGAAUGCUUAAUGUUGCUUAAUGUUGCUUAAUGUAUAUUGGAAACUGUAAAGAACAAUGUUUUUACCUGGAAUAACAAACUAAUAUAUUAUGGUU